rnacentral:rRNA from 1 species
GACGAACGCUGGCGGCGUGCUUAACACAUGCAAGUCGAACGGAAAGGCCCUGCUUUUGGGGGGUGCUCGAGUGGCGAACGGGUGAGUAACACGUGAGUAACCUGCCAUUGACUUUGGGAUAACUUCAGGAAACUGGGGCUAAUACCGGAUAGGAGCUCCUGCUGCAUGGUGGGGGUUGGAAAGUUUCGGCGGUUGGGGAUGGACUCGCGGCUUAUCAGAUUGUUGGUGGGGUAGUGGCUUACCAAGGCUUUGACGGGUGGCGGGCCUGGGAGGGGGACCGGCCACACUGGGACUGAGAUGAGGCCCAGACUACUCCGGGAGGGAGGAGUGGGGAAUAGUGCACAAGGGGCGGAGGCCUGAUGCAGCAACGCCGCGUGGGGGAUGACGGCCUUCGGGUUGUAUACUGCUUUCGCCUGUGACGAAGCGUGAGUGACGGUAAUGGGUAAAGAAGCCCCGGCUAACUACGUG